UAAGAGGUCCAGCCUGCCCAGUGACUCUAGUUCAACGGCCGCGGUAUCCUGACCGUGCGAAGGUAGCGUAAUCACUUGUCUUUUAAAUUGAGACUAGUAUGAAAGGCACCACGAGAAUUAAACUGUCUCCUUUUUCUAAUCUGUGAAACUGAUCCCCCCGUGAAGAAGCGGGGAUUUUGAUAUAAGACGAGAAGACCCUAUGGAGCUUCAGACAAAUAACAAUGCCCUCCUCUUUUUUUCUAAAAAAUACCCGAGCAUCUUAAUUAUUUAGUCUUAGGUUGGGGCGACCAUGGAGUAAAAAUCACCCUCCAUGCUGAACAGGACCUCCUUAAAUAAGAGUAACAACUCUAAGAAUCAAUAAAUUGACACAUUUGACCCAAUUACUUGAUCAACGAAACAAGUUACCCUAGG
rnacentral:rRNA from 1 species